GACGCCGGCGCUGAGGAGAGGUCCGCGGGUGACGGACCGCGGAGGACCAGAACCACCUGCUGGAGGAGCCGCGCUACGGGGGCCGCGCAGGGUCCAAACGGCUCGCGUCUGGCUGCGGCUCCGCGGUCGUCGGGGUCGCGGAGCGGCCGCCGAGGUGGGAGGCCUUCCGGGACCGAGGCUUAGGCCGCCGCUCGCGCUGCGCGGCGGGAUCCCUGGGCUCUCGGGAGGCCCGGGGGCGGAGGAGGACCUCCAGGCGGUGGAGGAGGGCGGUGCCGGGCGGCCUGGGAUUCCCUAGGGGAAAGAGGAGCGCACAGUCCUGCCGCCCCGAGCACCUACCGGGUCUCGGUUUAGUUUUGCAAGCAAAGUUAAGCGGCUCACCCAAAGCCCGCAGCUAAGGGCGGAGCUGCAGCGGUCCUGCCUGACGCCGUCCCGCACGAGUCGCUUCCUUCGGGAGGAUGCUGCAGGCAAAGAGAGGAGUUGGAGUUACCCUCGCCCUCAGAGAUAAAAAAAAAUCAGAGAAAAUGCCAAGCCACGAGAGGGGCCUUGUGGAAAAACACAGAGAACUACGCGGGAUCCGGAGAGCUUAGAAGUUUGGAGGAAGAAAAGAAGGCUGUUGCUUUCUAAGUGAAGCAAAUGUCAGAGGUGGAAAAUGGACAGCCCUGUGUAGACCAGGUAGAAGGGAGUACCGGGCUGUGACAGCUGUCGAGGUGUGAGCCCAGCACUUGAGAAGCUGAUCCAAAAAGCUGAAGUUUCUCCUCCCUCCUCUCCUCCCAGUCCCUCCCCCCACCUCCUCUGUUCCAUCCCUCAAUGCACUCCUCUGUUUCUGUUCAGAAAAGGGUAUGAUAUCCCCAUGAAUAUCAACAAAACAUUGCUUCAAGUUGCCCUAAGACUAUGCACUUUCCCAUGUGUAGCACGAAUAAUAAAAACCCAGAGAUCGAUAUUGAAGUUCACCCUGAAGCUCUUACCUCUAUGAACUCUUCAGACUGAAAGAGAGCUAGUGUAGAUGGAACGGCGGGCUCU